GCUUACCUGGUCUUGACAUCCACGGAAUUUGGCAGAGAUGCCUUAGUGCCUUCGGGAACCGUGAGACAGGUGCUGCAUGGCUGUCGUCAGCUCGUGUUGUGAAAUGUUGGGUUAAGUCCCGCAACGAGCGCAACCCUUAUCCUUUGUUGCCAGCGGUCCGGCCGGGAACUCAAAGGAGACUGCCAGUGAUAAACUGGAGGAAGGUGGGGAUGACGUCAAGUCAUCAUGGCCCUUACGACCAGGGCUACACACGUGCUACAAUGGCGCAUACAAAGAGAAGCGACCUCGCGAGAGCAAGCGGACCUCAUAAAGUGCGUCGUAGUCCGGAUUGGAGUCUGCAACUCGACUCCAUGAAGUCGGAAUCGCUAGUAAUCGUG
rnacentral:rRNA from 1 species